GGAGGAGUACCCAAGUGGCUGAAGGGUCUGGCUUCGAACACCAGUAGGUCGGGAAUACCGGCGCAAGGGUUCAAAUCCCUUCUCCUCCG
rnacentral:tRNA from 1 species